rnacentral:rRNA from 1 species
CAACGUAGGUAAUCUACCUUCGGGUGGGGAAUAACCCAGGGAAACUUGGGCUAACACCGCAUAAUGCAGCGGCACCACAUGGUGACAGUUGUUAAAGCGGGGGAUCUUAGGACCUCGCGCCUGAAGAGGAGCCUGCGGCGGAUUAGCUAGUUGGUGAGGUAACGGCUCACCAAGGUAACGAUCCGUAGCCGGCCUGAGAGGGCGGUCGGCCACACUGACACUGACAUACGGGUCAG